rnacentral:rRNA from 1 species
CCUACGGGGGGCAGCAGUGAGGAAUAUUGGUCAAUGGUCGGGAGACUGAACCAGCCAAGCCGCGUGAGGGAUGAAGGUACUGUGUUUUGUAAACUUCUUUUGUCAGGGAAUAAAGUCUGGGACGUGUUCCUUGUUGUGUGUACCUUAUGAAUAAGCAUCGGCUAACUCCGUGCCAGCAGCCGCGGUAAUACGGAGGAUGCGAGCGUUAUCCGGAUUUAUUGGGUUUAAAGGGUGCGCAGGUGGUUAGUUAAGUCAGCGGUCAAAGUUUGGGGCUCAACCCUAAACCUGCCGUUGAAACUGGCAGACUCGAGUAGGUGUGAGGUAGGCGGAAUGCGCGGUGUAGCGGUGAAAUGCAUAGAUAUCGCGCAGAACUCCGAUUGCGAAGGCAGCUUACUAGC